rnacentral:rRNA from 1 species
UACGCAGGGUGCGAGCGUUGUCCGGAAUUAUUGGGCGUAAAGGGCUCGUAGGCGGUCUGUCGCGUCAGGAGUGAAAACUCGGGGCUCAACCCCGAGCCUGCUUCUGAUACGGGCAGACUAGAGGUAUGCAGGGGAGAGCGGAAUUCCUGGUGUAGCGGUGAAAUGCGCAGAUAUCAGGAGGAACACCGGUGGCGAAGGCGGUUCUCUGGGCAUUACCUGACGCUGAGGAGCGAAAGCGUGGGGAGCGAACAGG